rnacentral:rRNA from 1 species
GGUUAAAAAGCCCGUAGUUGGAUUUCUGUCGAAGACGGUCGGUCCGCUCUAUGAGCGUGUAUCUGAUUCGGCUUUGGCAUCCUCGUGGGGAACGUAACUGUGCUUGAUUGCAUGGUGCGGAAUUCACGACUUUUACUUUGAGGAAAUUAGAGUGUUCACGGCAGGCAAGCGCCUUGAAUACAUUAGCACGGAAUAAUAAUAUAGGACUUUGGUUCUAUUUUGUUGGUUUCUAGGACUAAAGUAAUGAUUAAUAGGGAUAAUUGGGGGCAUUUGUAUUAACGCGUCAGAGGUGGAAUUCUUGGAUUGCGUUACGACAAGCUACUGCGAAAGCAUUUGCCAAGGAUGUUUUCAUUGAUCAAGAACGAAAGUAUGGGGAUCGAAGGUGAUUAGAUACCGUCGUAGUCUAUACCAUA